rnacentral:rRNA from 1 species
GCAAACUUCGUGCCAGCAGCCGCGGUAAUACGAAGGGGGCUAGCGUUGUUCGGAAUUACUGGGCGUAAAGCGCGCGUAGGCGGUGAUCUUUGUCAGAGGUGAAAGCCUGGGGCUCAACCCCAGAAUUGCCUUUGAAACGGGAUCGCUAGAGUCCGAGAGAGGAUGGCGGAAUUCCUAGUGUAGAGGUGAAAUUCGUAGAUAUUAGGAAGAACACCGGUGGCGAAGGCGGCCAUCUGGCUCGGUACUGACGCUCAGGCGCGAAAGCGUGGGGAGCAAACAGGAUUAGAUACCCUUGUAGUC